AUCGAACGCUGGCGGCAGGCCUAACACAUGCAAGUCGAGCGAGCGGCGGACGGGUGAGCAAUGUCUGGGAAACUGCCUGUUGGAGGGGGAUAACUACUGGAAACGGUAGCUAAUACCGCUUACCAUCAGAUUUGCCCAGUUGGGAUUGGCUGGUCGGUGGGGUAACGGCUCACCUUGGCGACGAUCCCUAUCUGGUCUGCGAGGAUGACCAGCCACACGGGAACUGAGACACGGGCCAGACUCCUACGGGGGGCAGCAGUGGGGAAUGUUGGACAAUGGGCGCAAGCCUGAUGCAGCCAUGCCGCGUGUGUGAAGAAGGCCUUCGGGUUGUAAAGCACUUUCGGCGGGGAGGCGUUACCCGCAGAAGAAGCGCCGGCUAACUCCGUGCCAGCCGCCGCGGUAAUAC
rnacentral:rRNA from 1 species